rnacentral:rRNA from 1 species
UACGGAGGGGGGUAGCGUUGUUCGGAAUGACUGGGCGUAAAGCGCGCGUAGGCGGAUCAGGAAGUUGGGGGUGAAAUCCCGGGGCUCAACCCCGGAAUGGCCUUCAAAACUCCUGGUCUUGAGUUCGAGAGAGGUGAGUGGAAUUCCCAGUGUAGCGGUGAAAUGCGUAGAUAUUGGGAAGAACACCUGAGGCGAAGGCGGGUUGCUGGGCCGAAACUGACGCUGAGGCGCGAAAGCCAGGGGAGCAAACGGG